UUUAGCCUGAUUGGAGCUUUUGAAAAAAUGUUUUUUUCGAGAAGUACUAACAAAUAUGGCUGACAAUCCAGCUCGUUGUUCGCGAGCCAGCUCAUAUUCGACUCGAAAUAAGCUUGAAUUGAUCACUUGUUUAAUAAACAAGUUGAACACGACCUGUAUUUUUCAGCUCGAAUUUUAACGAGCCGAAUACGAGUUGGAAUUGACUUACUCGUAUUACAUAUAUUUUAUAAAUUUCAAUUAUUAGAUUAAGAUUCUACACUUUAACUUUUUGUCUAAUAAUAGGGCUAGCAAUCUAAAUUGUUGUUCGCGAGCCAGCUUGUAAUUGGCUCCUUAACAAACAAGCCAAAUACGACCCAGACUUUUUAGCUCAAUAUUUUAACGAAACAGCACAUAUUCGGCUCGUUUAAAUAAACGAGCAUAAAUGAGCCAGCCCUAACUCGCUCACGUUCGGCUCGUUGGCAGCCCUACU
rnacentral:lncRNA from 1 species